rnacentral:lncRNA from 1 species
UUUGAUUAGAAUUUGAUUAGGAUUUGUUUAGGAUUUAGGAUUUGAUUAGAAUUUUUUUAGGAUUUAGGAUUUGAUUAGAAUUUGGUCUAGAAUUAGGCUUUAGGAUUUUAUUAGAAUUUCAUUAGAAUUUGAUAUAGAAUUUGAUUAAGAUUUACUAAGAUUUUAAUUAGGAUUUAAUUAGAAUUUGACUUAGCAUUUAAUUAAGGUUCAUUAGGAUUUGACUUAGGAUUUAAUUAAGGUUCAUUAGGAUUUUAAUUAGGAUUUAAAUCAAGUUUAAAUUAGAAUUUUAUCUAUAAUUUAAUUAAAUUUUAUUAUGAUUUUAAUUAGAAUUUUAUUUAAGAUUUAAUUAAGGUUCAUCAGAAUUUCAAUUAGAAUUUGAUUAAGAUUUAUUUAGGAUUUAUUUAAGAUUUUUAUUUUUAAUAUUU